UACGUAGGCAGCAAGCGUUGUUCGGAGUUACUGGGCGUAAAGGGUGUGUAGGCGGUUGUUUAAGUUUGGUGUGAAAUCUCCCGGCUCAACUGGGAGGGUGCGCCGAAUACUGAAUGACUAGAGUGCGGGAGAGGAAAGUGGAAUUCCUGGUGUAGCGGUGAAAUGCGUAGAGUAUCAGGAGGAACACCGGUGGUGUAGACGGCUUUCUGGACCGUAACUGACGCUGAGACACGAAAGCGUGGGUAGCAAACAGG
rnacentral:rRNA from 1 species